ensembl:lncRNA
CAGAAACAUCAUGGUAGAAAUACGUGGUAGAUGAAAGCUCCUUAUCUUAUGACAGCCAAGGAAGGAAGGAGAGAGAGACGGAGAGGGAGAUUCCCAGAAGUCUACGUGUAGUUGGGAUGUGUGGGUAGGUACAAGAAUUGAUGUGCAGACAUAGGAAGUGAUACUCUGACACAGGAAGUGAUACACAAGCACAGGAAGUCUUGUAAAUCUCUGUGGAACACCGUGCUUGCAGGCUUGGACUCAGGCUAAAGUCAUGGGCUCCGUUUGCCUCCUGGAAGACCUGGUGGAUGAGGCCUGAGAGGUCGUCAGUUCCUAAACCAUGUGCAUGCAGUGUCCCAGUCAAGCCGUUAUCAGACAGGCCACAUGUGCCUGAGUCAUAGCGGGUGAAGCAACUACUAGAUACAGAUGAGUAAAUGAUUCAAACUUUUCUCAUCUUCUUCCCCUGCACUUUAAGGCUACGUGGGUGAGGAGAGAAGAAAUAAUUUGUGGCUUUGCAUUAGUUUCUGCAAACAGCCCAAGGACUGAAACCGCUUCAUCCAAUCUUUACUCCUCUGUGAAUGUAGAGACAUAGAUGUCAGGAUUGUCUGAGGACUCUCACAGAAACUCGGGGUUCCUUCCAAUUUACUUAAUUCCUGGGAUGACUCUGCAUUAUUAGGGCUUCACUAUGAAACCAG